rnacentral:rRNA from 1 species
UACGUAGGGUGCGAGCGUUAAUCGGAUUUACGGGGCGUAAAGCGUGCGCAGGCGGCCCGUUAAGACAGGUGUGAAAUCCCUGGGCUCAACCUAGGAAUUGCGCUUGUGACUGGCGGGCUCGAGUACGGUAGAGGGGGGUGGAAUUCCUGGUGUGGCAGUGAACUGCGUAGAGAUCAGGAGGAACACCGAUGGCGACGGCAGCCCCCUGGGCCUGUACUGACGCUCAUGCACGAAAGCGUGGGGAGCAAACAGU